AACGACUUUUUUAUAGAUAUCCGCCAAUUUCUUUGUAGAAAUUAUCUAUUUCUUCAUCCUUGUCUUCCUGAACUUGGCUCGAUACAUCCCUGUCUGGCUGUCCAAUUUUCUGCCCCUUGGCUAGUUUUUGUCGUUGAAACGCAGCAGGUAAAAAUUGAGCAGCUUCUUGUCGUAAAUCUCUGACUACCGGCUGAGCUGAGUACUCAAUCAUAGUUUCCUCUUCAAUGUCCUUCGUAUUUGCAGCAGCUUCUGUCGUAGUAGUGGAUUUUGGUUGUGCUGAACUUGCAUUUAUGUCUUGCUUUUUGUGGUGCUUUGGCUUAAAGCUCUUAUUUUUCUUUUCCCUUGGCUUUGGAUCCUCAAAAGGAUAUUCUUCAGAAGGUAAAGGUAUAUCAAUAACGGAUUCAUCUGUUUCUGAACUUAGUUCUUCCUUCUCACGAUAAGGCAUUCCUGGCGGCGGAACUCCGUAAGGAUUAAAUAUUGGAUCAUAAUAUAUACUUCGUUUUGGGUUUUUAGGGAUAAAAGGCUUUCUAGGUUUAUGUUGACGUUCUGCCUCCUUAGUCUUGUCUGACUCAACACGCCCAACUCUAUGUCCAUGAAUGUUUUUCUUCUUCAUAAUUGCCAUAUCUCUUUGCAAAUUUUGUAAUAAUUGCUUGUCAUGUGCAUUUAAAGCUUGCGAAGAUUCUAAUUGUGUCAGCUCUGAUAAUUGGCGUUCCAUUUGGCUCAUAUUCCUAUGCGACAGUCGUUCUUCAUGGCGUUUUGCUCUUUCUUCUCGCACUUUAAUUUGUUCUCUUUUUUUCUUCUUUCUGCUCUCCGCUUGAACGGGAUUUAAUCCCCGUUUUGACAGCAUUCUGUAGAGUCAAGUAUAGUAUGGGUUUAGAAUGGUGGUGAUCAAAAACGUGACAUGUAUAAAAUAUUUAGGCAAAUAGACAAAGAAUAGUAUUAAAUUGGUUUGAGUAAUCGACCG